GCUCUAUAGGACUCUUGAUUCGCCAUUUGUCAAAAUUCUUGUUGUAGUGUUUUCUUUAAAGUUGGGAGAGCACCAUUCGAAUGUGGUGUGUCAGCAGUUUAUUGCAGAUGAAGGCUCAAAUUGCUAUGGUGAUCUUGGGUUUGCGUGAACUUUCUAUCAAGUUCACAUUAUCAUACCGUCUUUGGAUCUUGUAGAAACUAGAUUCACGUUUG
rnacentral:misc_RNA from 1 species